UACGAAGGGGGCUAGCGUUGUUCGGAUUUACUGGGCGUAAAGCGCACGUAGGCGGAUCGUUAAGUGAGGGGUGAAAUCCCAGGGCUCAACCCUGGAACUGCCUUUCAUACUGGCGAUCUUGAGUCCGGAAGAGGUGAGUGGAACUCCUAGUGUAGAGGUGGAAUUCGUAGAUAUUAGGAAGAACACCAAUGGCGAAGGCAGCUCGCUGGGACGUGACUGACGCUGAGACGCGAAAGCGUGGGGAGCAAACAGG
rnacentral:rRNA from 1 species